rnacentral:lncRNA from 1 species
UUCAACGUAUACAGACUUAAAGUGGGGGAAUAGUGCUUUCCACCUGUUGGGUGAAAUAGGCGGUGGUCGCCAUCUAUUGCCUGACAUGGGCAGCAGCUAACCGAGACACAAACCACCGCCAACGCUGCGCAGCCGCCGUCUGCGGCGGCGCCGCUGCCACGCUCCGACGCCGGCUCCAUCUUUGUCUUCAGUCUCUCUCUCUUCGUUUCUCUGUGUAGCACCGUCGCACGCCACCACGGGGAGGGGGUUAUGUGGUGUGAAAGGGGGUGCAGUCGCCGGAUUUACGGUCUCCGAUGACGGCUGCCAUGGCUCGAAACGGCCAUCAUAGUUGCUCAAAACGGAAAAUCGGUACUAGGAUUUGUGAUCAGGAUACCUGAUUGGGGGGGGGGGGGUACACCGGAGCACCACCGUGAAAACUCGCCGGAAAGACCUCUUACUCCGCCGCCGUAGCGGCGGCGGCGCCGUCGACCACCACCGGCUCCGCCGGUCUUGCCGGCCGGAGUCCGGCCAUACUUUACCGGAGAGAGAUAGAGAGAAAAGUGUGGUGUGUGUCUUUGGUUUAUGUGGAAUGAGAACAAAAAAAGGCUAAUUAGUAGAGAUAAUUAGAGUGUUUGAUUGUAUGUUUAUCGAAUUGUUUGGUUUUUUUUUUUUAAUUAUAUAAUAGUUAUCUGUAAGUCUUAUCAAAUUACAAAUUUGUCAUUGGU